ensembl:lncRNA
CGCUGGCACGAGCGUGUUCUGGACCCGUGCCGUGCCCCCAGGCAGCUGGGGAGUUGUCUGCCGUGUAGUGCGGCGGGCCACCAGGAGAAUCUGACCCAGUGUCCUGGAUGGGCCAGUUCCCAGUCGUGCGCUCGUGGCCCAGACCAGACCCGGGCUGGUGUGUGGAGCCAGCCACGCGGGCCCGUCUGUCCUCCGUGCCCUGAGUGGGCGCAGAUGAGAGAGGGCGCGGUUGCUCCGUCCGCUUUUCUCCCCUCUCGCCCCCGUGCGGGGAGCCGUCCAGCGGGGCCUGGUUGGACUGAGCCCGUGCCGGACACGGUGCUCAGUUGCCGUCCUGGAGGGCCCAGAGGAUUGCUCGAGGUGUGCCCACCAGGCCCCUCCCCUGAGACAGGGGGCUGGCUGGGUGCCGUCAGGCUCUUUCUUGGCUCCCCCUGGAACCCGGAGGUGGCCCUUGCCUGGUUCCUGGAUCCUUUCACUUCCCCUUCCUCGUCGCCUUGCCGUGUGGAAGGGAAGGGCCGCUCUUAGCCCGCCAGCCCUGGCCAAGGAGGGGAACCCACUUGGAGGGUGGGGUGGCACCAAGUCCUUGCGCGGCCCAACGCACAAGGGGGGACGGCGCGCCCUCGCCCUGGCCCCGGUGCCACCAGUUUCCCUUGGUCGGGAUUCUUUGUGGCCUAGGCAGGCAGGCGCCCAUGCUGUCUCCGCACUGACCUAGGCACCCACCCACAUGAGGCGUCGGGAGGUGUGGGGCCGGGAGAACAUUUCUCUGCCUGGUUUCCUAGGCGGAGGCAGGUGUGUUGUCGGCAAAGACCCUCACUCAGGCCAAGUGUGUGAUGUCUCUUCUUCUUCCGCAGACGCCAAGCCCGGCACCCGGGAACCUGUUCCGGACGUGCCGCUCCCAACCAUGACUCCCAGCACCGAGGCUGACCACGACCACGACCACGACCACGACCACGACCACGACCACGACCACGACGCCGAGCCCGGCACCCGGGAACCUGUUCGGGACGUGCCGCUCCCAACCAUGACUCCCAGCACCGAGGAGGCUGACCACGACCACGACCACGACCACGACCACGACCCCGACCACGACCACGACCACGACCACGACCACGACGCCGAGCCCGGCACCCGGGAACCUGUUCCGGACGUGCCGCUCCCAACCAUGACUCCCAGCACCGAGGAGGCUGACCAUGACCACGACCCCGACCCUGACCACGACCACGACGCCGAGCCCGGCACCCGGGAACCUGUUCCGGACGUGCCGCUCCCCAACCAUGACUCCCAGCACCGAGGAGGCUGACCACGACCACGAACCCUGACCACGACUUCGACCACGACCACGGAACGGGGCCGUGUGGCUUGGGCCACCUGCCCUGGGAACCCGCUGGGUUGCUCGGUGACCUAA